rnacentral:ncRNA from 1 species
UCUGGUGCCAGCAGCCGCGGUAAUUCCAGCUCCAAUAGCGUAUAUUAAAGUUGUUGCAGUUAAAAAGCUCGUAGUUAUUUAAGAUCUCAACUUCGGAACUGUUACUCUAUAAAUACCUUUGCCUUCGCCACCUCAGUAUUUGUGUAUAUCUCAAAGAUAUAAAGGGCGGUGCGGGACUCAUUUGGUAUGCGCAACUAACUUUA